rnacentral:rRNA from 1 species
UGCUUAKUGAKUAUGUGAUAGUAAGUAAUUUCUGCCCAGUGAAAUUUAAACGGCCGCGGUAGCCUGACCGUGCAAAGGUAGCAUAAUCACUUGCCUUUUUAUUGAAGGCUAGAAUGAAAGAAUAAACUUGGGUAAGCCUUUACUUUAUAAUAAAAUAAAAAUUAUUCUUCAGGUGAAGAAACCUGAAUUUCAUAAAAAGACAAAAAGACCCUAUCAAGCUUUAUAUAAAAUAUAACAUAUCUUAUUAAUUUAUAUUUGGKUGGGGCGACUAAUGAGRAUCAAUAUUCUCUCAUAAAAAAUAAGAACUUAUUAUUCUUCUACUUUUAUAAUAUAAUAUAAAAAAGCUACUGUAGGGAUAACAGGCUUAUAUUUUCUUAGAGUUCAAAUUAARGAAAAUGAUUGGCACCUCGAUGUUGGCUUAGGAUUCCUAAUCUUUGCAGAAGAAGAUUUAGGUGGUUUGUUCAACCAUUAAAUUCCU